rnacentral:rRNA from 1 species
GACGUAGGGCGCGAGCGUUGUCCGGAUUUAUUGGGCGUAAAGAGCUCGUAGGCGGCUUGUCGCGUCGAAUGUGAAAUCUCGGGGCUCAACUCCGAGCUUGCAUUCGAUACGGGCAGGCUAGAGUUCGGUAGGGGAGACUGGAAUUCCUGGUGUAGCGGUGGAAUGCGCAGAUAUCAGGAGGAACACCGGUGGCGAAGGCGGGUCUCUGGGCAGUAACUGACGCUGAGGAGCGAAAGCGUGGGGAGCGAACAGG